GAGCUUGUCAUCUAAUGGUAGGAUAACGUCUCUUCAUGGCGUCGAUCUAGGUUCGAAUCCUAGCUAGCUUA